CGGGGUGUAGCGCAGUCCGGCUAGCGCACCUGCUUUGGGAGCAGGGGGUCGUGGGUUCGAAUCCCGCUACCCCGA
rnacentral:tRNA from 1 species